rnacentral:rRNA from 1 species
UGGGGAAUUUUGCACAAUGGGCGCAAGCCUGAUGCAGCGACGCCGCGUGAGGGAUGAAGGCCUUCGGGUUGUAAACCUUUUUCGCUCAUGGUCAAGCCGCAGCUUUGGGUUGUGGUGAGGGUAGUGGGUAAAGAAGCGCCGGCUAACUACGUGCCAGCAGCCGCGGUAAUACGUAGGGCGCGAGCGUUGUCCGGAAUUAUUGGGCGUAAAGGGCUUGUAGGUGGCGUGUCGCGUCUGCUGUGAAAUUCCAGGGCUUAACUUUGGGAUUGCAGUGGGUACGGGCAUGCUAGAGUGCAGUAGGGGAGAUUGGAAUUCCUGGUGUAGCGGUGAAAUGCGCAGAUAUCAGGAGGAACACCGGUGGCGAAGGCGGGUCUCUGGGCUGUUACUGACGCUGAGGAGCGAAAGCGUGGGGAGCGAACAGG